AAAAAUAACAUAAUGUAUUUUAGAAAUAACAAAUUGAAAAAAUUAUUAAUAAAAAUAGGGUUUUUACGAUUGAAAAAAAUAAAAAUUAAAUUUUAUAUUUAAUUUUGCAUAAAAGCGACACAUAAACAUGGAAUGCACAAUUUAUAAUGCAACAUUAGAGGAGAUGGACGACCCUCUGGAGCUCCAAAGACUUGCAAAUACAUUUGCUACUGAAUAUUUCGCUCUGUUGAGACGAUCCCCAAGUGAUAUAUUCAAGUUUUACUCACAUGACUCACUCUUUGCUUAUGGAAGUCAUCAAAGACAGGAUGAUAUAGUGGUGCCUUUUAAAGGAAUAUUUGAAAUACACUCAGCGAUCUUUGAUUUGAAUUGGAGUAAUGCAAAAAUAAAUAUAAGAUUUGUUGAUGCUCAAGUAAUGGGACAAAGGAAUGUUCUUAUACAAAUUUAUGGUGAUGUUUUAAAGAAAAGAGAAGAACCUUGUCGUUUCAUUAGAACAAUGGUUCUGAGAUGUUCAAGAUCUAACGACUUUUAUAUUCAAAAUGACAUUCUUAACUAUGAGACCUUUCCUUCUGGACAAUCAAGAAACUUGCGUUGAAAAAUAUUGAUGGCUGUUAGACCAUAUUUAUUUAAAAAAAUAAAAUCUUAAGGUCAAAAUUAGUUAAUUGUAGACCUUAUGUACAAUCCCAAAUAUGAUACAAUAAGAUGACAUCUUUGAGAAGAAUGAUUUUCAAAUACUUAUCAAUGAUUCAGAGAAGGACAUAUUUUUACAGUCAAAUGAUAUUUGAAAUAUAUUGGAAUUUAUGUUAUGAUAAAUAAAUAGUGAUUCCCAAA
rnacentral:misc_RNA from 1 species